rnacentral:rRNA from 1 species
AUUCCAGCUCCAAUAGCGUAUAUUAAAGUUGUUGCAGUUAAAAAGCUCGUAGUUGGAUUUGUGGCGUGUGCGUCGGCGUCCGAUUUGAUCGGUUCUGCCGGUGCCGUGCCAUCCUUGGGUGGAAUCUGUGUGGCAUUAGGUUGUCGCGCAGGGGAUGCCCAUCGUUUACUGUGAAAAAAUUAGAGUAUUCAAAGCAGGCUUAUGCCGUUGAAUAUAUUAGCAUGGAAUAAUAAGAUAGGUCUCUGGUCCUAUUUUGUUGGUUUGCGGGCCAAAGAAAUGACUAACAGGGACAGUUGGGGGUAUUCGUAUUCCAUUGUCAGAGGUGAAAUUCUUGGAUUUCUGGAAGACGAACUACUGCGAAAGCAUUUACCAAGGAUGUUUUCAUCA